GACGAACGCUGGCGGCGUGCUUAACACAUGCAAGUCGAACGGAAAGGCCCUGCUUUUGUGGGGUGCUCGAGUGGCGAACGGGUGAGUAACACGUGAGUAACCUGCCCUUGACUUUGGGAUAACUUCAGGAAACUGGGGCUAAUACCGGAUAGGAGCUCCUGCUGCAUGGUGGGGGUUGGAAAGUUUCGGCGGUUGGGGAUGGACUCGCGGCUUAUCAGCUUGUUGGUGGGGUAGUGGCUUACCAAGGCUUUGACGGGUAGCCGGCCUGAGAGGGUGACUGGCCACAUUGGGACUGAGAUACGGCCCAGACUCCUACGGGAGGCAGCAGUGGGGAAUAUUGCACAAUGGGCGGAAGCCUGAUGCAACAACGCCGCGUGCGGGAUGACGGCCUUCGGGUUGUAAACCGCUUUCGCCUGUGACGAAGCGUGAGUGACGGUAAUGGGUAAAGAAGCACCAGCUAACUACGUG
rnacentral:rRNA from 1 species